rnacentral:lncRNA from 1 species
ACCCGUUUCUGGGACCAAUCAGAUUAGUUAGAUUGCCAGCUCUUGCCUUUAAGCCUUCAGGGUUUUUUCUCAAUUCCUGCACCUUGGUUAGAGAGGGAGGAAGUAGCAGUGUUGCCUUCCUGAUCCUUGACCACAAAACAAUUGGGAUACUUGUUUAGCAUGUAAUUUAUUAAAUUAACAAACCUACAUAAAGAAAUAUGAAGUAUUAGCAACAUGAAGACAUUACCAGGGAUCACUUUCAAGGUAACCCUUUGAAAUUUAGAAACCUUUCCAAAUCUGAUUGACCGCUUGCAUUAGCCAUGCAAGUAUUUAAACCAGUAACCAUACAAUGUGUAAUUUAGACUAUUUGUUGUUUCAAAGCAUUUAGUCACACAGCUUUGACUCAAUACAUUCUGGAACACUUAGUCUAUGGCUCAAUAAUUGAUGUAUAUUAGCACCUGUUAAACCAGGGGAUAUAAUAUACGCCAUCAAAAUGGAGAAACAAAGACACAGCUGUGAUCAAUAUGGCAACUGAUCAUGCAAAUGCCAUUGAGUCCCAGCAGUUAUGUCAUGCAGGCUAUUGAAAGCCACAACAAAUCACCAGACAUAAGGCAUAACUGUUAUGAAUACGAGUCUAAGCUUCUUGAAAGAUCCCCCCCCUCCUCUGAACAGUUGAUAUUUCUCGAAGACAAAAAUAAUAAUAACGUUGAACAAAAUGUAGACAUUAGUCUACGAAGUUGCAGACUUCAAAUAUGCUAUGAGAUCUGCACGUUCUCCCUUCUUCUUGAUGCCAGCAAAGAUCAUCUUUGUUCCUGGAAUGUAUUUCUUGGGGUUCUCCAAGUAAGUCAUGAGGGUAUCAGUGUCCCAGACAAUGCCUGAAAUCACAUGUGAAGGGACAGGUUAGGAUGAGAAUGAAAUGUGUCACGUUGUCAGACUCCAUUUAUUUCCUGUAGAAUGGGGACAAUCUCACGCGUACCUUUGGCUUUGUUGGCAUCCGUGUAGGAAAAGCCUUCAGCCUGUCCAGUCUUGCGUCCAAACAGACCCCAGAGGUUUGGCCCGACCUUGUGCUUUCCUCCAUUUUCAACAGUAUGGCACUGGGCACACUUCUGGACAAAAGCCUUCUUUCCCUUUUCAAUGUCACCCAUGUUUCCUAUUGGACAAUAAGUCAGAAGAGGUCAGCUACAGUACCUAUAACAGUAGAAGACCUGCAUUAGUAGUAAUGCUGAGCGAUUUAACCAACAUGGUUUAAUAACACCGAAUAAACAACAAUUCAAUAAGUGGAAUUCCAUUUAGUUCAGGUUGUGUGAGCCCAGUAUGCCUCAUCUUUGUGAAUACAGUGUCAGACAUCUCAGCAGUUGGCUUUGCUUAAAUAGCAUGACUAAAGACAGAACAGUACAGGAGUACAGAGCAGGAUUUGCAUUAGACCGGCAGCAUUUUUUAAAUUUACCGGACCUAUAUGCAUUGGGUGCGUAACCGAAAUAGGUGUCCACCCAUGGGUGCUCAGAAUGACAGAAAUACCAUUUAGAUUAUGGAACAUGCAAGUCAAGGAUGCAACAAUAUGCAGUCCUUCAUACCAAAUUCUGAUAUGUUAGAAUAACUGUCCACAUUUGUCCAAAUUAACUUUUCCUCAGCCAACAAUACCAUGGUAGAAAAGUUGACCUACUCUAUUCUAAAACAGACUCUGGGACAGUUUUGGGAUAAUAAAUCACAAAUUCAUAACCAGGAGGCCUAUGCAACAAAAGUUAAAAAGCAAAUAAUAUAGCACCCAAACCUAGUUGGUAAUAUGACUAGGAUUGUACCUCUGACUAAUGGACAAGGAAAGAAAGUUGAUUAAAAUAAUUGCCUCUGCGGAUCCCAAAUUAGGGCUGGGCAAUAUGGCCAAAAUAUCUUAACUUCUCUAGGGUAGGGGGCAGUAUUUUGACGUCCGGAUGAAAGGCGUGUCCGUAGUAAACUGCCUGCUACUCAGUCUCAGAAGGUAGGAUAUGCAUAUUAUUAGUAGAUUUGGAUAGAAAACUCUAAAGUUUCUAAAACGGUUUGAAUGAUGUCUGAGUAUAACAGAACUCAUAUGGCAGGCAAAAACCAGAGAAAAAUUUCCACACUUCCUGGUUGGAUUUAAGGUUUGUAGUUUAAGUGAUUGCCUAUACAGUGACUUAGGGUUCAUUUUGCACUUCCUAAGGUUUCCACUAGAUGUCAACAGUCUUUAGAACGUUGUUUCAUGCUUCUACUGUAAAUAGGGAGAGAAUAAGAGCUCCUGGAAGUAGAUGAGUGAGAAAAGGCCAUGAGCUCAGAGGCACGCACUCAUGUGAGAGUUAGCUGUGUUCCUUUUCUUUUUUGAAGACAUUGGAAUUGUCCGGUUGGAAUAUUACUGAAGGUUUAUGAUAAAAACAUCCUGAAGAUUGAUGCUAUACAUCGUUUGACAAUGUUUCUACGAACGUAAAUAUAACUUGAACUUUUCGUUGUGACAUUUUGCGCGCUUCCUGCAUUUGGAGUAGUGGACUAUACGCGCGAACAAAAAGCAGGUAUUUGGACAAAUUAUGGACUUUAUCGAACAAAACAAACAUUUAUUCUGGAACUGGGAUUCCUGGGAGUGCAUUCCGAUGAAGAUCAAAAGGUAAGCGAAUAUUUGUAACUUUUUGUCAUUUCUGUUGACUCAAAUGGCGGGUAUCUGUAUGGCUUGUUUAGAUAUGAGCGCUGUACUCAGAUUAUUGCAAAAUCUGCUUUCGCCGUAAAGCUUUUUUGAAAUCUGACACAGCGGUUGCAUUAAGGAGAAGUGUAUCUAUAAUUCUUUGAAUAACUGUUGAAUAUUUUAUCAACGUUUAUGAUGAGUAUCUGUAAAUUGAUGUGCUCAUUCACCGGAAGUUUUGGGAGGCAAAACAUUUCUGCACAUUACACGCCAAUGUAAAAUGGGGUUUUUGGAUAUAAAUAUGAACUUUAUCGAGCAAAACAUACAUGUAUUGUGUAACAUGAAGUCCUAUGAGUGCCAUCUGAUGAAGAUCAAAGGUUAGUGAUUAAUUUUAGCUGUAUUUUGUGACGCCUCUCCUUGCUUGGAAAAUGGCUGUGUGUCUUGUCUAGGCGCUGUCUUAACAUGUUAUGCUUUCGCCGUAAAGCCUUUUUGAAAUUGGACAAUGUGGUUGGAUUAACGAGAAGUAGUGUGUCCCGCAGCUAACAGAAACCAUGUUACAGAGAAUGUCUGGCCACUGUCUGAGAAGAGAUGACUAACAUGGUGACUAGACCGGGCACGCGCAUGUUGAUUUUGUACAUCCACACAAGAUGCAAUAAGAACACGCAGGUUAAAAUAUCAAAACAAACUGAACCAACUAUAUUAAUUUGAGAACAGGUUGGUACACAUGAAGCACUCUUGUCCAUUUAGCAAGCUUGCAGUUGCUAGCUAGUUUGUCCUGGGAUAUAAACAUUGGGUUAUUAUUUUUAUCUGAAAUGCACGAGGUCCUUUACUGAGUCACAAAAUAGUGUGCUCUACAGCAUCUCAGUCCAAGAGGCAGCACUACAGUACGCUGUAUCACAUCCGGCAUACAAUUGGCCCAGCGUCGUCCAGGCCCCGGCAUUGUAAAUAAUAAUUUGUUCUUAUCCGACUUUCCUAGUUAAAUACAUAAACUAGUUCGUUUCUAGUGAUUUCUUCUGUGGACUUUAUAUGGCCGUCAGCAACCAACUUUAAGGUGCACUACCACCACCAACUGGACUGGAGUUUGGUCCUCAGUUCAUCUUUCAAAUCAGCCAAGUGGGUAUAUGCUCCUAAAACCCAGAGGAGAUGGGAGAGGAGGGACUUGCAGCGCAUUAAAUACAGGACCAAGUUCUAUUUUAGCACCUGGCUACACAGACACCUGUUGACACAUGCAAGAAGUUUGGAUGAAAUGAUUGAACAUGCAUAAGUACAUUCAUGCUGUCGACGCAAUGUGGACCUGACAGGAAUAUUUUCAAUGUUUUGGCAAUUGAACAUUCACCAUUGUUGGCUUUGAAAUUUCCUAUAUUGUUCAACUUUAAUUGUGAUGUCAUUAUUUCUAAAUGCAUUUAAUGUUCAAAGUUAGUUGCGCUAAAAUAAACUCACCUUUGCAAUGGAGAAUGUCAUCUUUACAAAACUGGUUGAACAGUUAUUUUAAUCCAUGUAGCCACCUGCAACUUUCCAUUAAUAUUUGAAUUCUGAACAAUUCAGUGUAGGACAUUUUUACCUUCAAUAGAAACACAUUUUUUUUUUUUUAAAUGGUCCUGUGCAGUUUGAACCCCCCCCAAAAAAAUACUAAUUACCACCAACAAGUUCUCCAUAGCAAAUUAUUUUUGAAUCAAUAGUGUAUCAUGCCAGUAUAUAUCUGCAGUAGUAGUUAGUUUAGUAGCUAGCUACACCAGUAGGUGUGUAGCGGAAAUAAAUCAAUGGAAGGCAGGCACAGGUUAAGUCGUGGUCACCUUGGGGUUCAUAAUUCCUCAUGAAACCCUGAUAAUCUCCACAUAAAAUAGCUUGUUAGCUAGGGGUGAGUCGAAUGACUGAACGUACCGGCAUUUGGGUGUAGCAACGUAAACUAAGCUUGGGUAGUAUAGCCAUCAAACGACGGGCAGAUUAGGCUGUAUUUGAAUGAUAGCUAGCUAACUGUGUAGUUAACUUCGUUAUCUCGCUGUUGCCGUGGCCAAGGUUAGCUAGCUAGCUCGCUGUUGCCGUGGCCAAGGUUAGCUAGCUAGCUCGCUGUUGCCGUGGCCAAGGUUAGCUAGCUAGCUCGCUGUUGCCGUGGCCAAGGUUAGCUAGCUCGUUAAAAGGCAAUACCAUAGUAAUAACUACGACGUUACAAAACGGCUGAUUUAAGCAGUCUAGCUAACGUUAGCUAUUCACUCAAGUCACCACAACUGUUUGCUGAUGUACCAUUUCUUCACAGCUAUGGCUUUUCAGUUAUCGGUUUGAUUUUAGAUGUUAGCGGGCUAACAAGGUCGUAAAAUUACCACGUUUCAACAACGGAUACAGAAUCAGGCAAAACGUUCCUUUAGAUAAAAUGUAAAAAUAAAAAAAAACGAACCAAUGCAAUGUUCACAAUUCAAGAAAUUGACUACAAGUUAAACUACUAAAACGUAUUUAAUCAAUGUUACCUGUUCAAAUAAACUAUAUUCCUUACAGGUGUUCAACUUCAGAGCUUUUAGUCUUCAGUUCCGAUCAGCUUUCUCCUCGCCGGUAGCCGACUCACUGGAUCUAAUAGUAUUGAGAGCGAGUUCCUUUUUCUUCC